ACAAAUCAUCGUAUUUCCUCAGAAUUCAUGUUGCAAGAGUGAAUUAAACAAGAUGAUGCAGUUUUCUGAAACAGUUCUUUAAAGAUGAAUCUUAACCAAACAUCUGCAUCUUCUUUCCUCUCCAGGCCAUGAGGACCCAGGAGGAUUUGAUGUUCGGAUCCUGCCAAAGCUAUUCUCAGCACCAUAACUGCAUUCUCUUUAUUUCUAAGUUCUACACAGUUUAGCUUACUUCUUUAUGUCAGUUCAGUCUUCAGUUGAAGCUUCUUGCAGGCCAGCUUUCAAAUGAAAACUACCAUAAGAGAAGCCGAGUUGCUAUCUUAAAGCAAAUAGCAAGUGUUAAGUAGCACUGGAAGCAAAUAUUUGGGGCUACGACAUCUGUUCUGAUCCAGUCAUCACCUGACUAGCCUAUGUGUUACAGACCGAAUGAAAACACAAUACAACCAUUACUGUAAAACAGCAACUUCAAACAUGAGAGUUGUAAUGCUAUAAUGUGAUAGAAGAUAAUAGCUGGGUAGCAAAGUCUUUGGCUGCAGCAAAUGAGGACAAGCCCAAAUGCAGCAGCUGUAGACAUAGAAAUGAAGGAAAAGCGCUACUUAGCUUUGGAAGGCCUCAAGCAGGCAAGGUUCUCCAGUGAGAGACUCUUACCUCCACUGCCAAACCUUAAAUGAGGUCUGGGAAGGGGUGGAUCCUGGCUCCACCCUCUCUGGUUACUCAGGUGCACUGCAUGCACUUGAGCUCCCCUGAGUUGGCCCUGCCUUCUCACCAGGUGCUCAAUCACUGGUUCAGGCUGUGACUUAGCAUUUCUGCUACAGGGGUGAAGGGGAGAAAGGAUAUAAAUAUCUUCUGGCAUUUUUUACUCUUUAUUCUGGAAGGGAGAAGGCUGCAUAUCUCAUAGUACAUGUGUACACAGCAAAUGUGCAGAAUGCUAGCUCCUAGGUGCUUGGUUAGAAGGAUGACAACAUGGCACAUGAAAUCAUUCCCUGACUUCCUGAUGGCUCCUGUGAUGACAGCACUCUUAUUCCUCCAAUUGUGAAGCCUUACAGUUCCCAAACCAGGCACCUUCUGAAGAUCUGAAAAUGUAAGUUAACCUAAAAAUGAACUAGAGCACAGCCAUGGUGAACUGGGUGCCAACACUUCCAUCUUUGCAGGAUGAUAAGUUGUUUCCCCAAAAAUAACUCACUGCAGCAGAAUGUCA
ensembl:lncRNA